ACACUCAUUUAUUACAUUUGACAGAAUCGGAACAAAAUCAUUGAGUGUGCGCGAUUUGAACGGAGAUAACAUCGAUUUCAACAAUCGGGAUUCGGUGAAAAAGUAACAGUUUUUCUUU
ensembl:ncRNA F45H7.12 ncRNA